rnacentral:tRNA from 1 species
UCCGCCAUAGCCCAGUUGGUAGUAGCGCAUGACUGUUAAUCAUGAUGUCGUAGGUCCGAGUCCUACUGCCGGCG